GGAGUACUUAUGCCAAAACAGAAAGCUUCUAACUUUCUAUUAGCGGUUAAAUUCCGUUUGUAUUCCU
rnacentral:tRNA from 1 species